rnacentral:rRNA from 1 species
UUAAGUUAUUAAGGGCGCACGGUGGAUGCCUUGGCACUAGAAGCCAAUGAAGGACGUUACUAACGACGAUAUGCUUUGGGGAGCUGUAAGUAAGCUUUGAUCCAGAGAUUUCCGAAUGGGGAAACCCAGCAUGAGUUAUGUCAUGUUAUCGAUAUGUGAAUACAUAGCAUAUCAGAAGGCACACCCGGAGAACUGAAACAUCUUAGUACCCGGAGGAAGAGAAAGAAAAUUCGAUUCCCUUAGUAGCGGCGAGCGAAACGGGAAGAGCCCAAACCAACAAGCUUGCUUGGUUGGGGUUGUAGGACACUCUAUACGGAGUUACAAAGGACGACAUUAGACGAAUCAUCUGGAAAGAUGAAUCAAAGAAGGUAAUAAUCCUGUAGUCGAAAAUGUUGUCUCUCUUGAGUGGAUCCUGAGUACGACGGAGCACGUGAAAUUCCGUCGGAAUCUGGGAGGACCAUCUCCUAAGGCUAAAUACUCUCUAGUGACCGAUAGUGAACCAGUACCGUGAGGGAAAGGUGAAAAGCACCCCGGAAGGGGAGUGAAAUAGAACCUGAAACCGUGUGCUUACAAGUAGUCAGAGCCCGUUAAUGGGUGAUGGCGUGCCUUUUGUAGAAUGAACCGGCGAGUUACGAUUUGAUGCAAGGUUAAGCAGUAAAUGUGGAGCCGUAGCGAAAGCGAGUCUGAAUAGGGCGUUUAGUAUUUGGUCGUAGACCCGAAACCAGGUGAUCUACCCUUGGUCAGGUUGAAGUUCAGGUAACACUGAAUGGAGGACCGAACCGACUUACGUUGAAAAGUGAGCGGAUGAACUGAGGGUAGCGGAGAAAUUCCAAUCGAACCUGGAGAUAGCUGGUUCUCUCCGAAAUAGCUUUAGGGCUAGCCUCAAGUGAUGAUUAUUGGAGGUAGAGCACUGUUUGGACGAGGGGCCCCUCUCGGGUUACCGAAUUCAGACAAACUCCGAAUGCCAAUUAAUUUAACUUGGGAGUCAGAACAUGGGUGAUAAGGUCCGUGUUCGAAAGGGAAACAGCCCAGACCACCAGCUAAGGUCCCAAAAUAUAUGUUAAGUGGAAAAGGAUGUGGCGUUGCCCAGACAACUAGGAUGUUGGCUUAGAAGCAGCCAUCAUUUAAAGAGUGCGUAAUAGCUCACUAGUCGAGUGACACUGCGCCGAAAAUGUACCGGGGCUAAACAUAUUACCGAAGCUGUGGAUUGUCCUUUGGACAAUGGUAGGAGAGCGUUCUAAGGGCGUUGAAGCAUGAUCGUAAGGACAUGUGGAGCGCUUAGAAGUGAGAAUGCCGGUGUGAGUAGCGAAAGACGGGUGAGAAUCCCGUCCACCGAUUGACUAAGGUUUCCAGAGGAAGGCUCGUCCGCUCUGGGUUAGUCGGGUCCUAAGCUGAGGCCGACAGGCGUAGGCGAUGGAUAACAGGUUGAUAUUCCUGUACCACCUAUAAUCGUUUUAAUCGAUGGGGGGACGCAGUAGGAUAGGCGAAGCGUGCGAUUGGAUUGCACGUCUAAGCAGUAAGGCUGAAUAUUAGGCAAAUCCGGUACUCGUUAAGGCUGAGCUGUGAUGGGGAGAAGACAUUGUGUCUUCGAGUCGUUGAUUUCACACUGCCGAGAAAAGCCUCUAGAUAGAAAAUAGGUGCCCGUACCGCAAACCGACACAGGUAGUCAAGAUGAGAAUUCUAAGGUGAGCGAGCGAACUCUCGUUAAGGAACUCGGCAAAAUGACCCCGUAACUUCGGGAGAAGGGGUGCUCUUUAGGGUUAACGCCCAGAAGAGCCGCAGUGAAUAGGCCCAAGCGACUGUUUAUCAAAAACACAGGUCUCUGCUAAACCGUAAGGUGAUGUAUAGGGGCUGACGCCUGCCCGGUGCUGGAAGGUUAAGAGGAGUGGUUAGCUUCUGCGAAGCUACGAAUCGAAGCCCCAGUAAACGGCGGCCGUAACUAUAACGGUCCUAAGGUAGCGAAAUUCCUUGUCGGGUAAGUUCCGACCCGCACGAAAGGCGUAACGAUUUGGGCACUGUCUCAACGAGAGACUCGGUGAAAUCAUAGUACCUGUGAAGAUGCAGGUUACCCGCGACAGGACGGAAAGACCCCGUGGAGCUUUACUGUAGCCUGAUAUUGAAAUUCGGCACAGCUUGUACAGGAUAGGUAGGAGCCUUUGAAACGUGAGCGCUAGCUUACGUGGAGGCGCUGGUGGGAUACUACCCUAGCUGUGUUGGCUUUCUAACCCGCACCACUUAUCGUGGUGGGAGACAGUGUCAGGCGGGCAGUUUGACUGGGGCGGUCGCCUCCUAAAAGGUAACGGAGGCGCUCAAAGGUUCCCUCAGAAUGGUUGGAAAUCAUUCAUAGAGUGUAAAGGCAUAAGGGAGCUUGACUGCGAGACCUACAAGUCGAGCAGGGUCGAAAGACGGACUUAGUGAUCCGGUGGUUCCGCAUGGAAGGGCCAUCGCUCAACGGAUAAAAGCUACCCCGGGGAUAACAGGCUUAUCUCCCCCAAGAGUUCACAUCGACGGGGAGGUUUGGCACCUCGAUGUCGGCUCAUCGCAUCCUGGGGCUGUAGUCGGUCCCAAGGGUUGGGCUGUUCGCCCAUUAAAGCGGUACGCGAGCUGGGUUCAGAACGUCGUGAGACAGUUCGGUCCCUAUCCGUCGUGGGCGUAGGAAAUUUGAGAGGAGCUGUCCUUAGUACGAGAGGACCGGGAUGGACAUACCUCUGGUGUACCAGUUGUCGUGCCAACGGCAUAGCUGGGUAGCUAUGUGUGGACGGGAUAAGUGCUGAAAGCAUCUAAGCAUGAAGCCCCCCUCAAGAUGAGAUUUCCCAACUUCGGUUAUAAGAUCCCUCAAAGAUGAUGAGGUUAAUAGGUUCGAGGUGGAAGCAUGGUGACAUGUGGAGCUGACGAAUACUAAUCGAUCGAAGACUUAAUCAA